rnacentral:lncRNA from 1 species
UGGCUCCAAAAACAUACUAGUUCCCUUGUAUAAUUCCAAAUUUGAAAUUUGAUUUAACGUAACUCACCCAAAAAAAACUGAAAAACUUUUAAUUUUCGUUAAUAAUUAUUCAAGUGUGUUGAUUUUGGGUUUUGGCUAUUAAAUCCCCGACUUUCAAUUAUACAAAAAAAAAAAAAAAUCUAACUUUAGUUUUGGUACAAUAAAUACCAUAUUACUUUUAGCAAAUGGAAACAUAAACUUAUACUAUCUCUUUCAUUUGGC